rnacentral:rRNA from 1 species
GACGAACGCUGGCGGCGUGCUUAACACAUGCAAGUCGAACGAGGUCCAUCCGGUAGCAAUACUGGUGAAGACCUAGUGGCGAACGGGUGAGUAACACGUGAGCAACCUGCCCCGAAGACCGGGAUAACAACGGGAAACCGCUGCUAAUACCGGAUGCCCCCCACCGGACCGCAUGGCCUGGUGAGGAAAUGGAUUCCGCU